AUUGAACGCUGGCGGCAGGCCUAACACAUGCAAGUCGAGCGAGCGGCGGACGGGUGAGUAAUGUAUGGGGACUGCCCGAAAGAGGGGGAUAACUACUGGAAACGGUAGCUAAUACCGCAUACUAUCGGAUAAGCUAUAUGGGAUUAGCUAGUUGGUGAGGUAAUGGCUCACCAAGUCGACGAUCCCUAGCUGGGCUGAGAGGAUGAUCAGCCACACUGGGACUGAGACACGGCCCAGACUCCUACGGAGGCAGCAGUGGGGAAUAUUGCGCAAUGGGGGCAAGCCUGACGCAGCCAUGCCGCGUGAGUGAAGAAGGCCUUCGGGUUGUAAAGUUCUUUCGGUAGAGAGGCGUUAACUACAGAAGAAGCACCGGCUAACUCCGUGCCAGCCGCCGCGGUAAUAC
rnacentral:rRNA from 1 species